rnacentral:tmRNA from 1 species
GGGGUUGACUGGAUUUGACAGCAGGAUGAGAUGGUAUGUAAGCACGCGGAGUCGCGACUGAAGACUCCAUAAUCCCUUCGGUCGAAAAUUUAGUUGGCAACAAUGAGUAUGCUCUCGCUGCUUAAUCGAAGCACAGUAGAUUACGAGCUUAAUUCUCUUACAAGGUAGGAGAACGAGACGUCGCUCCGAAGAUGUUGUUCCGAAUCUGAAGAACAAGCGGCGCAGGUUAAAUCGGAAAUAGUCUUGGCAAGCCUCAGUGUCAUGAUGAAAUUUUAGAGGAUAAGGUUGCGAUUGGUGGUCUGGGUCUUGUCGCUGCACGAAAAUGAAGUCCAGAAUAAGCGUGUAGAAAGCGUAUGGUUUCCCUGUUUGGACGAGGGUUCGACUCCCUCCAGCUCCAC